rnacentral:rRNA from 1 species
AAUGCAUACGGUGGAUGCCUUGGUCGAAAGUACCGAUGAAGGACGUAACAGACUGCGAUAAGCUUCGGGGAGCUGCCAAUAAGCUUUGAUCCGAAGAUUUCCGAAUAAGUUAACUAGUCGCCUUUGGCGACAUUUCUUACUGAAUUCAUAGGUAAGAGAAGGGUACGCGCUGAACUGAAACAUCUAAUUAAGCGCAGGAAAAUAAAUCAANNGCGAAAAGGGAACAGCCUAAACUCGUGCUUCGCACGAGAAACUUCAAAAUUCAAGAUACAAGAUACAAAUAAAUCCAAAAUUUAAAAACCUUAAAUUUUAAAAAUUGGAAUUUAAAAAUUAUUUGUUUCUUGGUUAUUGUUUAUUGGAAUUUCUCACGCGGAGCGUGAGGGUUGCGGGAUCUGCGAUAUGGCAUCAGUUUUGGAUAGCUGAACAGAUUGGAAAGUCUGACCAAAGUAAGUGAUAGUCUUGUAAGCGAAAUCUAAAACUGGCCUAGCAGACACCCAAGUAACACAGGACACGUGUAAUCCUGUGUGAAUCUGGGACGACCUCGUUCUAAGGCUAAAUAUACUUUCGGACCGAUAGUGAACUAGUACCGUGAGGGAAAGGUGAAAAGAAGGGCGGAAUGCCCUGUGAAAUAGUACCUGAAACCGUAUGUUGACAAGCAGAGAAAGUGCUGAGAGUAAUCGAAGUACAAUCUCGUGCCUAUUGAAGAAUGAACCGGUGAGUUACCGUAUCCAUCUUGUUUAACCCCGCUAAGCGGGGGAAGGCGUAGUGAAAGCGAGGGUUAAUAGCCCGUUUGAUGGAUGCGAUAGACCCGAAACCGAGUGAGCUAACCAUGUCCAGGGUGAACUCCGACGAAAGUCGGAGGGAGGCCCGAACCCUUUUCUGUAGCAAUAGAUUGGGAUGAGGUGUGGUUAGAGGUGAUAUGCCAAACGAACUCGGAGAUAGCUGGUUC